rnacentral:lncRNA from 1 species
UCUGAAAUAGCUUUUUUUUUUUUGAGAGAUAGGUAGCAUACUACCCGCUUCGUUUAUUUCAUUUAGAAAUAAACUUAGCUGAAAAUAUGAAUCAACUAGGAUUCGAACUCGGACCUCGGGUACCAACCAUUAAGCCCUUUGCCAUUUACGUUAAAACUAUUAGUUACACAAUUGUUUUUGUCUUAUGUAUUACUAACAGUUCUAUAAAGCUUCAAA